UACGAAGGGGGCUAACGUUGUUCGGAAUUACUGGGCGUAAAGCGCACGUAGGCGGAUAUUUAAGUCAGGGGUGAAAUCCCAGAGCUCAACUCUGGAACUGCCUUUGAUACUGGGUAUCUUGAGUAUGGAAGAGGUGAGUGGAAUUCCGAGUGUAGAGGUGAAAUUCGUAGAUAUUCGGAGGAACACCAGUGGCGAAGGCGGCUCACUGGUCCAUUACUGACGCUGAGGUGCGAAAGCGUGGGGAGCAAACAGG
rnacentral:rRNA from 1 species